rnacentral:tRNA from 1 species
GCGCGGGUCGCCAAGCCAGGCCAAAGGCGUAGCGCUUAGGACGCUAUGGUGUAGACCUUCGCCGGUUCGAAUCCGGUCCCGCGCA